CAAGACCUCAUGCUCGUGGAGCGGCCGAUAUCUGAUUAGCUAGUUGGUAGGGUAAAAGCCUACCAAGGCAUCGAUCAGUAGCUGGUCUGAGAGGACGACCAGCCACACUGGAACUGAGACACGGUCCAGACUCCUACGGGAGGCAGCAGUGGGGAAUUUUGGACAAUGGGCGAAAGCCUGAUCCAGCAAGGCCGCGUGAGUGAAGAAGGCCUUCGGGUUGUAAAGCUAGGGGUUAGGGAAGAAACGGUGAGGGCU
rnacentral:rRNA from 1 species